rnacentral:rRNA from 1 species
GACGAACGCUGGCGGCAUGCCUAAUACAUGCAAGUCGAACGCUGAAGCACUCUGCUUGCAGAGUGCGGAUGAGUGGCGAACGGGUGAGUAACACGUGGGAAAUCUGCCUAUAAGAGGGGGAUAACAUUCGGAAACGGAUGCUAAUACCGCAUAUAUUCUUGGACCGCCUGGUCCUUGAAAGAAAGACGGCUUUGCUGUCGCUUAUAGAUGAUCCCGCGGCGUAUUAGUUAGUUGGUGGGGUAAAGGCCUACCAAGACAACGAUACGUAGCCGACCUGAGAGGGUGAUCGGCCACACUGGGACUGAGACACGGCCCAGACUCCUACGGGAGGCAGCAGUAGGGAAUCUUCCACAAUGGGCGAAAGCCUGAUGGAGCAAUGCCGCGUGAAUGAAGAAGGUCUUCGGAUCGUAAAGUUCUGUUAUUAGAGAAGAACAAGUCAAGGAGUAACUGUCUUGACUUUGACGGUACCUAACCAGAAAGUCACGGCUAACUACGUG